rnacentral:rRNA from 1 species
AGGACGAACGCUGGCGGCGUGCUUAACACAUGCAAGUCGAGCGGUGAUCCUCCUUCGGGAGGUGAUCAGCGGCGAACGGGUGAGUAACACGUGGGCAACCUGCCCCUCACACUGGGAUAACCUCGGGAAACCGGGGCUAAUACCGGAUACGACCUCGAGCGGCAUCUCUUGAGGUGGAAAGCUCCGACGGUGAGGGAUGGGCCCGCGGCCUAUCAGCUUGUUGGUGGGGUAAUGGCCUACCAAGGCGACGACGGGUAGCCGGCCUGAGAGGGCGACCGGCCACGACUGGGACUGGAGACACGGCCCAGACUCCUACGGGAGGCAGCAGUGGGGAAUAUUGCGCAAUGGGCGAAAGCCUGACGCAGCGACGCCGCGUGAGGGAUGAAGGCCUUCUGGGUUGUAAACCACUUUCAGCAGGGACGAUUGUGACGGUACCUGCAGAAGAAGCCCCGGCAACUACGUGCCAGCAGCCGC